AUAAAGACGGUGAAAUCAAUAAUCUAAAAACUGAAAUAACACUACUCAAGACAACCAACCUAAGCCAACAACAGUCAAUAUGUGACCUGAAUUUAAAACAAUCACAAAUUGAAGAUGAACUUAAAAAAUUAAAAAACAAACACAAAUCCUUAGAGAAAAAGAAUACUGAUCUAUUACUAAAAUUACAAACACUAAAUAAGGAAAAUAUUCAGACAAACGAAGAAACGACCAGCCAAAUUCAACCAAACAUAGCAGUGCCCAUUUCGAACAGUUUUGGUACCUUAGAAGACAACCUGAAUCAACCUG